GACGAACGCUGGCGGCGUGCCUAACACAUGCAAGUCGAACGGAGUUGAAAGGAGCUUGCUUUUUUCAACUCAGUGGCGGACGGGUGAGUAACGCGUGAGUAACCUGCCUUUCAGAGGGGGAUAACGUUCUGAAAAGAACGCUAAUACCGCAUAAGAUUGUAGCUUCGCAUGGAGCAGCAAUCAAAGGAGCAAUCCGCUGAAAGAUGGACUCGCGUCCGAUUAGAUAGUUGGCGGGGUAACGGCCCACCAAGUCGACGAUCGGUAGCCGGACUGAGAGGUUGAUCGGCCACAUUGGGACUGAGACACGGCCCAGACUCCUACGGGAGGCAGCAGUGAGGGAUAUUGGGCAAUGGGGGAAACCCUGACCCAGCAACGCCGCGUGAGGGAUGACGGUUUUCGGAUUGUAAACCUCUGUCCUCUGUGAAGAUAGUGACGGUAGC
rnacentral:rRNA from 1 species